CAUAGGUUAACGAGGCGAACCGGGGGAACUGAAACAUCUAAGUACCCCGAGGAAAAGAAAUCAACCGAGAUUCCCCCAGUAGCGGCGAGCGAACGGGGAGCAGCCCAGAGUCUGAAUCAGCUUGUGUGUUAGUGGAAGCGUCUGGAAAGUCGCACGGUACAGGGUGACAGUCCCGUACACGAAAGCACACAGGUUGUGAACUCGAAGAGUAGGGCGGGACACGUGGUAUCCUGUCUGAAUAUGGGGGGACCAUCCUCCAAGGCUAAAUACUCCUGACUGACCGAUAGUGAACCAGUACCGUGAGGGAAAGGCGAAAAGAACCCCGGCGAGGGGAGUGAAAAAGAACCUGAAACCGUGUACGUACAAGCAGUGGGAGCACCUUCGUGGUGUGACUGCGUACCUUUUGUAUAAUGGGUCAGCGACUUAUAUUCUGUAGCAAGGUUAACCGUAUAGGGGAGCCGAAGGGAAACCGAGUCUUAACUGGGCGUUAAGUUGCAGGGUAUAGACCCGAAACCCGGUGAUCUAGCCAUGGGCAGGUUGAAGGUUGGGUAACACUAACUGGAGGACCGAACCGACUAAUGUUGAAAAAUUAGCGGAUGACUUGUGGCUGGGGGUGAAAGGCCAAUCAAACCGGGAGAUAGCUGGUUCUCCCCGAAAGCUAUUUAGGUAGCGCCUCGUGAACUCAUCUUCGGGGGUAGAGCACUGUUUCGGCUAGGGGGCCAUCCCGGCUUACCAACCCGAUGCAAACUACGAAUACCGAAGAAUGUUAUCACGGGAGACACACGGCGGGUGCUAACGUCCGUCGUGAAGAGGGAAACAACCCAGACCGCCAGCUAAGGUCCCAAAGUCAUGGUUAAGUGGGAAACGAUGUGGGAAGGCACAGACAGCCAGGAUGUUGGCUUAGAAGCAGCCAUCAUUUAAAGAAAGCGUAAUAGCUCACUGGUCGAGUCGGCCUGCGCGGAAGAUGUAA
rnacentral:rRNA from 1 species